CAGAGCUGCUGUUUGGAUGUAAACUGCCUCCCACUCUCAUAGAUCUUUUGCUUGAGGAUGCUCCAAAGGUUCUCAAUAGGAUUGAGGUCAGGGGAGGAUGGAGGCCACACCAUCACUUUCUCUCCUUUUAUCCCCAUAGCAGCCAUUGAUGCAGAGGUAUUCUUUGCAGCAUGAGAUGGUGCAUUGUCAUGCAUGAAGAUGAUUUUAUUACGAAAAGCAUAGUUCUUCCUUCUGUACCAGGGAAGAAAGUAGUCAGUCAGAAACUCCACAUACUUUGCAGAGGUCAUCUUUACAUCUUCG